rnacentral:lncRNA from 1 species
GUCGAUUAAGAACAUGAUUGUCCUUUAGCACAGCCCACUGUAGCAUCUCACAAUCAAACACAAAAUGGAUUUUGAAUCAAGAUGACUGACCCCACAGUUUCAUAAGGAAUUUUGCCAGCCUGGCUUGACUUACUACCUGCAUUGAAUUCAAUUCAGAUUUCAUUAAUUCCAACACAUUUUCAUGGACUAUCUUCUCAUAGACAGGGACAACCUGGAGAAUAUAAAGUUAAAAGAAUGUGCUUCCCACCUCUUGGAGGCUGCUGUGCCCUCAAAAAAAAAAAAAAAAGAAAAGAAAAAGAAAGAAAAAGAGGAAAGAGCUGUAAGUUAAUCCCAGUGCUGAAAAUGAACUCUCAACUGUAUUUCACAUUUAUCCUUUAGAAAUUUUAAUAGCAAAAGCUUUCUCCUGCUUCAAUUAACCUGUAAUUUUGUAGAUGCUAUCUUAUUUUUGUCCAGGGAACAACAUGACUGCAACACGACUCAUGAGGGCAUCUGAUGAGUUUGGUGUGGAAUAACAAUCUCUGAGAUAAUGUAACAAACAUUUCAGACUCCAAUGCUCAGUAAAGUUUUUUCCUUACUGAAGGGCGGAAAUCAAAUGAAUGAGUUAAACUUGAACUAAGGAUGGUGUAAAGCAGAUGCAUCUGUCUCUAUGUUGGUGACAUUGUCAGGAGAUCCCACCUUAUCGGGGUUUACACGUGGCAGCCCACGGUCAGGAGCCCACGAUAUCUCGUGAUUGCAAGCCUGCAUAGCCCUUCAAGCUUGACAAGUUCUUUGUGUUCUCCUGUUUCUUUUUCUUCUCUUGAAGAGCACGCAACCAUUUGUAGGGCUCUCGUAAAGACACAACGACAGCAUCUCCUGUUUGCCCUGAGAUGGUGUUUCACACGUUUUAGAUUACGGAGCUUAAAUUAGCAUGUGCGAUAAGAGAGACUGCAUCUUUUCUUGUCAUCAGGACAGCCUGUGCUGGCCGCUGAGGCCGGGAUGGUGACCUCCACACAGGCGGCCUGCAGUAAGGCGAGUCGCUGUUGGAAAUUAUUUAUCACCCGAGCAGGUCAUUCCGUUUCAGACUCCGAGGCCUACGCAUCUAAUUGACACAGCAAUAAUGGCCUAUGAACUUUUGAUCCAAUUAAUUGUUAAUGAGAGGUUUGAUUAGCAAAUAAAAG